GUACAAAGAAUGGAAAUAUGACUUGAAACAAUGUUCUAGUUUCUAUAUUCAUUCAAAGCUUCAUUUAUUAUCAAAGCACAUAUUCAUAUACAACUCUGAAAUUUGUAUUCUCCAGAUCCCCCCCCAAACAAAAAAGGUUAUCCUGAUCAUCAACCCUCCCCUUCCCCUCCACAAAAUGGAGCAGGAACAUAGACCUCAAAGAAAAACAUCUCCCCUCAUGCAAAACACUGAUAGAACAAGAACCCUCAAACACCCUCCCCUCGCGCAUGAAAACGGAACAGGAGUGGGCAAUCAAAAUGCUCACAGUCCAUACAUGCAAUAGUUCAAUCCAUAAACACGGAACUACGAUACCAGCCUGCAAUAUCACUAACAUUCAUUGAAAGAGAGGGACACCACAGGAGUGUAAAGGCCUAGCUGUCUGCCACAGCGAGCCACACAGUGACAGACUGCUCACAGAUUACUUCUCCAGCAGCGAUCGAAAGGAGGGCAGUUGGUGCUGAGCUCCCACUCACCAUUUGCAUUUGCCUCAAUGUCUCAUUCUUCCCUAAAGCUUUAAUCGGUGAUUAAUGGACGCUUCAAAUGGCAAAAUGGAGUCGAACAUCAGCUUACGCCGCAUCUCAAAGUUUCUAUGCCUUGAGGCCGUCCAAGUGCGCGCUCGCUUCCCGGAAUCUUCUCAGAGACAGCAACGCGCUGGAUCACUCAAACAAUCUCCAAGCUGUAAAUCGCGGGCUCUACCAGUCCCAGCUGCACAUUUAACGUGAAAACAGUCAAGAGAAAUAAAAAAGAUAAUUUUGUUUGCUAUCUGGAAGGUGCUGAUCAAGGGAGCAUUGUACGCUGGUGCCAUCUUGACUGGAUAAUUCUGGAUUAAUUAUUAAUACUGGAUGUUAAGGUUAAGAAAUUGGCUUGGGCCGAGUGAGUUAGAGAAUGAUGGGAAAGAACCCUGCUGCUCCAUGGUCGUUGCCAGCCACUGGGCCGAAACCCGUAAUAAGUUCCAGACCAGCAUGUGAUACGUAGCUCCCCAAAGAUCAAAGGAGCGGUCAUCGAUGGAGUGGUCUGAGUCAGAGUGGUAGGGCUUUGGCUCAUUCGGGAUCGACAAGGCCAAGUUCAACACUCAACCCAGCACAGCUGGAAAGUGUGCAAGGAGCCGGCUGGAUUCAAACACAGGACCACUGGCCUUGAAGUCUAGUGUUGAUGCCACUAUAAAAUAAAAUAAAAAACUAAGAAAAUCAUCAAAGUAAGGCGGUAUGGAAGUUAAAGGAGUGGACGUCAUCAUUGGAUUCCGAUGGACAACCAAAUGAACCAGGUGGUGAUGCAGCCAGUCAGUGUACUCUCCAUUACACACCUAUAGAAGUUCGUCAAGGUUUUAGAUUCAUUGUGAGCAGCGAUUUCAUGAUCUGAAAGACUUGGCAGACUUAACUGACAAGCAUUCAGGUAUGGCACCUUUACGUCACUGAAAGUACAUUGACAUGGCCCUAAGAGAGAGAGGAGAGGAGGAAUCCAAGCUGGACUGAAACACAGGGCAAUGCAAUUUCCUCGGAGCAGCAUUUUAUUAGCAAAUGUACAGUUGCUGAAGAACAAGAUUAGGGACCUAUGGCGAAGAUUGCUGAAUUGGAUAGAAAUGAGAAAUUGCUGCAUUCUGUGUUUCACAGAGACAUGGGUCACUCCAGACAUGCAGGAUAUGUUAUAAAGGCUUGAUGGCUUCUAAAUACACAGGAUGGACUGAUUCAGAGGAGGCAAAAGAUGUUACAUAAUAAACUCUUUGUGGUGGUCGGUUGCAGUAGUCUUGUGGCACUCUUGUUCUCCCAGCCUAGAAGAUCUAAUGAAUAAGUGCCGACUGUUCUACUUCCCAAGAGAGUUCUGCUCCAUGAUUCUGAUUACAGUUUACAUCCCACCAAAGGCCAAUGUUAAUCAAGCACUCGAGAUAUGGAAAGCUGCCAUCAGCAAACAAGAAACAGCUUGGCCUGACUCCUUUCAAAUCAUUGUCAGGGAAUUAAAUCAGGCUGUUUUGUACAAAUCUCUGCCCAAUUUUCAUCAUUAUAUAACCUGCUGCGCCAGAGGUAACAACACACUCGACCUCUGCUAUAGUACAAUGCCUAUCGGUGCAUUUCUAGACUGCGUUUCAGGAAAUCUGACCACUUGGCCAUCCUUCUCCUACCUGCAUACAGGCAGAGGCUAAAGAGCAAAGCUCCACAGAUAAGGACAACGAAGAAUUGGUUGCAGGAGGCAAUGGAGCAGUUACAAGAUUGCUUCAAGUCAAUAGACAGGGCUGUGUUCAAGGACUCAUCAGAGGACUUUAUAAAAACAGUUGUAGACAAGUGUGUCCUCACAAAAUCAUUCAAUCUGUACAAUUUUCUGUCCAUUGAAGCCGUAGAAGCUACCUCAGUAAAUAUAUUUAAGACAAGGUUGGAUAGAUUUUUGUAUAGUAGGGGAAUUGAAGGUUAUGAGGAAAAGGCAGAUAAGUGGAGAUGAGUCUAUGGCGAUCAGACAUGAUCUUAUUGAAUGGUGGAGCAGGCUCAGCAGGCCAGAUGGCCUACUCCUGCUCCUAUUUCUUAUGCUGUUAUAUAGAGUCUUCUCCAACCAGAAGCUCUGAAUGAACCAUAAGGCCCGCAAUCUACCAAGAGCCCGAUCAGUGACAUUCAGGUUGGGCAACCAAGGACCAGGUAUAACUUCUGGGAAGACAUCUCAGUGCUUCUUGGCAAUCCCAGGCCAAACAAAUCACUGAAGGAUGCUUGACAGCUGUGGCAGGGCUUGAAUGCUAUCACCUCUUACAAAGUGAAACCAAGUGACAUAGGUGACAAGAAGAAUCCACUCACAGAUAAACUCAGUGCCUUCUAUGCUCACUUUGACUGUCAAAACAUGACAUAUUCCCAAAGCCACUGAUGACCCUCUGAUUUCAAUCUCUGAGGCCGAUGUGAUAGAAUCCUUCAGCGAGGUGGACACGCAGAAAACAUCCAGCCCGAAUGGGGUACUUGGCAGAGUUUGGAAGACCUGUGCUGAUCAACUGGCAGGAGUGUUCACCGAUAUCUUUAACUUCUCAGUUCUGCAGUCUGAGGUACCCACCUGCUUCAAGCAGACUCCACUUAUACCACUGUCUAGAAAGAACAUGGUUACCUACUUCAGUGACGAUUGCCUAGUAGCACUUACAUCCACUGUGAUGAAGUGCUUUAAGAGGUUAAUGAUGAAACAUAUCAACUCCCGCCUGAGAAGUGAUUUGGAUCUGCACAACAGGUCCAUAUCAAAUGCCAUUAUUUGGCAUCUUGAACACACGGACAGCAAAGAUACAUACAUCAGGAUGCUCUUUAGCUCAGCAUUCAAUACUACGGCAGCACCUCUAUUUCCUUAGAAGUUUGUAAAGAAUUGGCAUGACAUCAUAAAUUCCGACAAACAUGUGUGGUGGAGAAUUUAUUGAUAAGUUGCACUGAGGCCUGGUAUAGAAACACAGACGGCCUUGUGUGGGAAAUCCUACAAAAAGUAGUGAACGUGGGUCAGUCAUCAUGGGUAAAGCACUCCCCACUAUUGAGCACAUCUACACGGAGGAGCAUCUAUCAUCAAAGACCCCCCACCACCUUGGCCAUGCUCUCAUCUUGCUGCUGCCAUCAGGACCCAGACCUUCAGGUUGGGGAACAGUUAUUACCCCUCAACUAUCAGGCUUUUCAACCAGUGGACAUAACUUCACUCGCCCCCAUCACAGAAGCUAUGGAACCUAUGGACUCACGGUCCAGGCCUCUUCAUCUCAUGUUCUCAUCGAUUGUACCAGCUCACAUUGAUUGUUUGACUGACUGAUUGUUUGAUUGUUAUAUACUCCAGAACAAAUAAUGUUACAGUUCAAAAAUUAGAGCAGAUUAAAUUUCCUUAAAGUAAAAUAUGUGCUCAGUCACAAAUAAGAAUGAGAAUUUUACAUGCUUGUAACUUUUUCAUUAUGGAGGGGAAUAACUAAAUUAUUCCAAAGUGGAAUUUUUAAUUGCUUUUUCAUUAAUGUGACAAACAGUAUAAAUUAACAGUAGGGAACAGAAUCAUGAAGUGAGUCCCCUUAACAAGUAUUGUGUUCAUAUGUCUGCUUAGCAUUAUAAAAGAAAAUCAGAUGUCUUACAUGUGAACAUAUUUAAGAAAAUAAACUUACAUUUGUUCAAUGACUUUUACAACUUCAAUGAUCC